rnacentral:rRNA from 1 species
UCGGACGGGUGAGUAACGCGUGAGAAUCUACCUUUAGGACGGGGACAACAAUUGGAAACGAUUGCUAAUACCCGAUAUGCCCUUCGGGGUGAAAUGUUUUAUCGCCUAAAGAUGAGCUCGCGUCCGAUUAGCUAGUAGGUAGUGUAAUGGCCUACCUAGGCGAUGAUCGGUAGCUGGUUUGAGAGGACAAUCAGCCACACUGGGACUGAGACACGGCCCAGACUCCUACGGGAGGCAGCAGUGGGGAAUUUUCCGCAAUGGGCGCAAGCCUGACGGAGCAAUACCGCGUGGGGGAGGAAGGUCUGUGGAUUGUAAACCCCUUUUCUCAGGGAAGAAGAUCUGACGGUACCUGAGGAAUAAGCAUCGGCUAACUCCGUGCCAGCAGCCGCGGUAAUACGGAGGAUGCAAGCGUUAUCCGGAAUUAUUGGGCGUAAAGCGUCCGCAGGCGGCUAGAUAAGUCUGCUUUCAAAGAGUGGGGCUCAACCCCAUAGGGGGAGUGGAAACUGUUUAGCUAGAGUAUGGUAGGGGCAGAGGGAAUUCCCAGUGUAGCGGUGAAAUGCGUAGAUAUUGGGAAGAACACCAGUGGCGAAGGCGCUCUGCUGGACCGAGACUCACGCUGAGGCACGAAAGAUCGGGGAC